CGGAGGAAUCAACAACUACACUGCGAUCCGCUGAAAGUGUACCAGUUCCGACUAGCGGCAACCCACGUCCCACAUCAUCCACACGUAUGGCCACAGCAUCCAGAUCUGUGCCCACAACCUCUAAACACAGUCCCAUAGCAAGCAAGAAUAAUCCUAACCGACCAACUAUUGCUUUAACCACAACACAAUCGACCGUUCAAACCACCGCAGCCCUGGAAACUAUCGGCAAAGGGAUUGUUACAACCUCCAAAGCAAUGUCAACGGAUACAGUUUCGAGUCCAACUCACCUCACUACUGGGCCCAUUGGAUACAGUGACUCGAGGGGAUUACCAAACACAGCAACUUCAUCUACUGACAUGGACAACGACAAUCGCAACGGUGCGUCAACGCAAGCAAUGACUACAAUGUGGGAGUCUCAACCGUCUUCUUUACUCAGUCAUGGCGCUAUAGUGGGCAUUUCAUUGUCAUUCGUUGUAAGUGGACUCCUAUUGGCAAUGCUCUUACUGCAUAGGUAUCAAUCCGCCAAGAGGCAUACGGAAAGCAAGAAAUCGCCCAAACCUUAUGAAGCUGUACAGAUCAAUUCAGAUGCAAUACCUGAUACCAACCGCGAAGAGAUUGCCAUUUACGGAACAGUGACAAAUCGCACCUCGCCAUGCAACGAAACGUCAGGAGCAACGCAAGGUUACAACCAGUCCAUCCUUCCCAUGUACGAGAGCACUGCUUAUGUCACCAUCACCAAGAAAUCAUGUGAUCUCACGGAGAAUUCUGCUUAUGGAACCAACGCGGAUGCCAAAUAAAUAUCACUUAGAGCAAGAGUGCGAUAAAAUACCCACUUGUUUUAUCGUGUGCAUACACGCACACAAAGUAAGGUAACAAGGUUUGCUCCAAGAACGUUUUCAAGUGACUACCGUCAGUGGAAAAUGUUACUGAUUGACAACACUGAAUGAAACAUGAUUAUAAUACCCUCAGGUAUUGUCUAUGCAACAUGCAGAACACUAAAACAUGUGACUACAUUUUGUAAACAAACACUGCUACCUUAAUUUUGUGCGUGUGCGUGGGUGCGUGUUUGGGUGUAUGGGCGUGGGUAUGGAUGGGUGUGGACAUUAAGGCACAAAUAGUUGUUUUAUCGAAUUGCUUAAACUGUUGUCUCCUUGCCGCCUUUGUAUAUAGCAACAAUGUAACGUGUCACAAUCUGACAUAUAUAAUGACAUUUACACCUACCCUACCACCAUUUUAGCUGCUCACCUUUGCGAUGCAUCUAGCAACUGAACCCCAUUAGUUUUGAAUCAUGCAUUGAUAAUGUUGUAACUUGUCAGUUUUAUUGCUUACUUCGCAUAUGGCAUUCACCAUGUAUGGAUGAGAGGUUUCACGCAAUAGUCGUCUUACAGCCGUCACAGAGCACCCCGCAUCAUUCGUGGUAAUAGUCAUAUAGUUCCAUGCCCAUAGGCAAUCAUCAGCCAACUAUUUGAGCACUCUACCGAACUGGAAGACUCAUUUUCCAUUGUCCUCUUACAAUACUUAGGAAAACCAGAGGCCACAUGCCACGUACUGCUCUUUUCUCUCCGAAACUCAACACGUGCAAGCCAGAUAUUUGAAAUUUCAA